rnacentral:RNase_P_RNA from 1 species
UGAGUAUGCCGGAUGAUCGCGGGCACAAAUGCCGAAAGGCUGUGUCUGAGGAAAGUCCGAGCUCCGCAGGGCAGGGUGCUGGGUAAUACCCAGUGGAGGCGACUCCAAGGAAAGUGCCACAGAGACAUACCGCCGAUGGCGACAGGUUCGCACAGGCAAGGGUGGAAAGGUGAGGUAAGAGCUCACCAGCAGCCAGGUGACUGGCUGGCUCGGUAAACCCCACCUGGAGCAAGACCGAAUAGAGGAGCAAUGGAACUGCCCGUUCCGCUCCCGGGUUAGGUCGCUUGAGGUGCCAGGUAACUGGCAUCCCAGAUAGAUGAUCAUCGCUCCGCAAGGAGUACAGAACUCGGCUUACAGGCAAACUCUUGUG